rnacentral:tRNA from 1 species
GGAUCUUUAGCUCAGUUGGUUAGAGCUACCGGCUCAUAACCGGUCGGUCCGGGGUUCGAGAGCACCUGCCUUGCACGCAGGGGGUCAAGGGUUCGAUUCCCUUUAUCUCCACCA